rnacentral:rRNA from 1 species
GACGAACGCUGGCGGCGUGCUUAACACAUGCAAGUCGAACGGAAAGGCCCUGCUUUUGUGGGGUGCUCGAGUGGCGAACGGGUGAGUAACACGUGAGUAACCUGCCCUUGACUUUGGGAUAACUUCAGGAAACUGGGGCUAAUACCGGAUAGGAGCUCCUGCUGCAUGGUGGGGGUUGGAAAGUUUCGGCGGUUGGGGAUGGACUCGCGGCUUAUCAGCUUGUUGGUGGGGUAGUGGCUUACCAAGGCUUUGACGGGUAGCCGGCCUGAGAGGGUGACCGGCCACAUUGGGACUGAGAUACGGCCCAGACUCCUACGGGAGGCAGCAGUGGGGAAUAUUGCACAGUGGGCGGAAGCCUGAUGCAGCAACUCCGCGUGCGGGAUGACGGCCUUCGGGUUGUAAACCGCUUUCGCCUGUGACGAAGCGUGAGUGACAGUAAUGGGUAAAGAAGCACCGGCUAACUACGUG